CACAGCAGAGUUGGAACUGGAUGAGCUCUGUGCUCCUUUGCAACCCAGGCCAUUCUAUGAUUGUAUAAUCUUCUCUGGGAAGGGGGUGAAUGCCUCCCACUGUUUGGGAAAAUGAGCCCCUUGAAGUUUGCUUUGUGUGUACUCUUGUCCUGCUUUCAUCAAAUGUACUUGGUGCUGCAGGCAGCUGUGUGUGGUGUUCUCUACCUGCAGGGCUGUCUCCAGGAAGGUUUUCUUACACAAGCAGCGAGAACAGCAGAAACAGCCAGAGUACUGCAGGUACUUGCAUUUCUGUCAAAAGGACCACAAAAUUAGAGCCUUACUCCUGGGUAUGGUUGUGAUUUAAAUGCUCAACUUCCAGUCUCUCCAAAACAUUGUGCAGAUAUGGACAUUUUUAUUAAAUUGUUGCAGUACAACACUGACAGGAUGCAAGAGCAGCAGAGCCAGCGAAUGAAGUGUGCAAAGCAGUGCAAGGCAGCAGAGAAAGCUCAGUUGCAGCUCGUUACACUGCUGCUAAUGAUUGGGUAACCACUGCAAAAUCAAUGAUGUUGCCACCUUCUGCAGCCUUCUGCUGCUGGAAAUGGGGCUGUUGGUGCUAACUGUAUUAAGGAGUGAAAAACAAUUAUGAAGUUUCUACUUGGAAUAAAAAACCUCGUUUGGCAUUGGAGGGUGAGCACCAUGUAACGCAGCAAGCUGCAGCCUUGUUGGCAGCAGAACUGCAUUCCUGUGAAUAGGUGCACAUCUCUGAUUCAGGACAGUGCCGUGGGAGGUGGGGAAAACAAACCAGGUGAGAGGCUUUCUCCUUCAGGGUGUGCUGGCACAGAUAUAAUUGACGUGCCCUCGGGUUUCUGAUAGCCUGAGCCUGCCAGUAAAUAGCUGCUGUGAGGAAUGGUUCAUAAUAAUGGGCCAGCUGAAAUAUUUCCCAGUGCUCAUACCCACUUUCUCAUACAGGAGAACAAUAGCUAAUCCUGCAGUGUUUCCUGACUUAAUGGGCAUCUGCCCUUAAGCAGCAUCCUGUGCUGAUAAUUAAAUCUGGAAGUAAGCAAACUUUAUGUCAAAUGAUGGAGACUUAAACAAUUGAAAAACAAAGGAAUGGUCCUGAGUGACGUAUGCUGUGUAUAAUCAGAAUAAAGAAAUCUAUCGUAUUUUGUAUUCUAGUUCCAUCUUAAAAUCAUCUCCCUUGCUUGCCUAAGGCUAAACUUGAAUAUUGCUACUUCAGGGUGACACACCGAGGAUUCGAUCUGAGCAGGAAAGAAAUAAAAAUGAGAGAAGCUGGUGGUGCACGUUAGGAAGUUGACAUGAAACCAUAUGACUAAUUUUAGUUUUAAAAUAUUUAUUUUCCUUCUCUUUUAACCUGACUUGAGCCUUCCUACACAAAGCUAAGAGAGGUUGUGACCUAGCACAGCAUGGGUCCGCUUAUUUUAAGGUGGAAAAAGUCGUUAGCUGUGUCCUGUGGAGACCUUGUGUUGAGGAAGGCAGAUGAGGAGCCUGCAGAUGGGUUUGGCUGUGUGCUGCUUCCAUCCUUGCUUCUUGGAGCACUGGGGCUGCUUUGUGGGGCAGCCAUGGCUCUGUGGGGUGGCUGGGGAUGGGCUGGGAUGCAGCUGAAAGAAAGCAUUUGUUACAAAACUUGCAUGAAGGACAAGGUUCUCAUGGCCCAAGCUUGAAGAAAAAGCAGGUGCCCCAAUCUGUUGAAUCGUCUGGUUAUUGCUGCCUCCUGUUGUGUUGUGGAAGGAAUUGAGAGUAAAAUGCUGGUUUUGCUGACUCAUCUUGGGAAGCCUUUCAGCUAUUUUGAUUUCCUUGCAGCAGUUGAGCAUCCUGUGUUGAAAUAUCAUAAGGUGAGUUGAUGCAGAAUGCAGAGUGUCUGAGGGUCCCGGGGGGGGUGGGGAGGAUGCUCACCUGCCUGGGGCCAGAGGAGCCCAGGGGGAGCAGAGCAGCAUUCUGUUUUGAGGAUGGUGUCCCAAUGCAAUGAAUGGUUCUGUGCUGUUUUGGCAAUCUUUGUCUGCUCAUAAGCGUUAUGAAGCUUUUGAGAAUGUCUCAUAGGAGUCGUUUCUGCAGAUUUUUCUAGGUUAAGCUUUUAUGUACGAACCUUACAAUAGAAAAGUAUGCUUAAAGAAAACGUUCCAACGCUUUAAAGGUUUGCACCAAAGUACUGUUAUUCACAAGCACAUGAGAUCGUGUUCGAUAGGCUGAGUAUUGCCAGCUUGAGAACAUCACGCUGCUUCUCUCGUCUCAAGGAAGGGCUGUAAGGACAUGCAAGGACCCUCUGCGUGCUGCUGGGCUGCCCCUGCAGAAACAGACCUGCUGGGAAUGGAGAUGGGCCCGGCCACGUUCCGUCAGGCGCUGUGCGGUGCUCCGCCGCUGCUGAGCUUGAGUGGAGGUGAGAAGAACCCUAAUAGAAUUUUCUUGUGGCUCUCAUGGCUUGCUCUCACAGCAGAGAUUUCAAAGUGAAUUUCAUUAAGUAUCUCUACUGGAUACGUAGCAGUAAACAUAUAAAGCAGUGCUGUUAUUCUGAGCUGGAACUUGUCUUACUCUGUAGCUCUGGUAACGGCUCUGCUUCGUGCCAGACUUAAUUUCAAACAGCAGAAACUUUCAUUUCCAGAAUUAAAACCCCAGAAGACACAGAAGUGUGGUGUCUGUUGAUGUGCCGAUUAUUUCAAGGUCAGGCGAGCGAUCACUAAUUGUGCCACUGUCACUGCGGUAAUAAUUUCAUCUUGAAGUGAGGUUUCUUCACAUACCUCUCAGAGCAGAAUACAGAAUCCAGUUGCUGAUUUCUCCAGAGCCCCUCAUUCACUCUGCAUGCAGGGCACUCAUGCCUGAGCCAUCGUGGUCCUGUAGGUCCAUGCGCACAGAACUGGGCUGGGGACCCUGCUUCUUGUUGGCAGCUGUUGGGAACCACCAUAGGAGUUGAACCAUAGGAUUUCAAAUGAACCUGAAAUUGAAAACCAGUUUUUGAAAUAAUAUUGAGUUCAGCUCUUCGCACUUACUGCUAAGGAGAAAGUGCUCUUGGCGUGGUGUUAUUGAAUUGUGACAAAAUGCAUGUUGAGGUUGGAAAACAACAGAAUAGGGCUGAGUUUAUGUUGAUUUACUGCUUUUCACAUCAGUGGGAAACGCUUCAAUGUUAACAUUUAUUCAAAAGGUUUUUGCCAAGACUUUGAGCCUCAUACAUUAAUAAGAGGCUGUAACAAGGACAUCAAGAUACACAAUGUGUUUUUCAUAAAUGAAAUCGUUGGCUUCCUUAACUGAAACUUUAAUAUGUGCAAUGUAUAACUGCAGUGCCUUACAGGGAUUUCUUAACAAGAGCAUUUUGGAGCAGCCACUAAAAAGCAGCAAUCAGUAAUAACAAUGAGGGCAUUAGCACUCAGACCAGAGUAAAAGCAUCAUUAGAGUGCAAGUUCUAAGGUACCCUACUUAAAAUUUCCCUCAUUACAUGUGCAAUUAGGGAAUAAACAAUAAAGCAGUGAUUAUUUUCCUGUGAUUUCUUAUCCUGACUACCUUUUAAAAGUGUAAUUAAUGUGAAGUGGGAUGAGCUGAAGUGUGGUGAGCAGCUCUCCUCUAGAGCAAUGGAUGGAUGGAUCACUUCUUGCGCCUACCUGGCAGGGGCCUCUGCUCCUGGUGGUGGCAGAGCAACCUUUGUGCCUUUUGUUGUACCAGAUAAGAUGUUAAUUAAGAUAGUGCUCACCCAAGGGCUGAUUUUAAUAUAUAUACACUGCUAUUGGCGUAUACAUUUUGUAAUCCAUCAUUCUGGCUUCAUCUGGUUUAUUUUAGGUAUUGAUUCGGCACAAACAGAAAUUGGGGAGAAAAUGCACUAUGGCACCAGAAUCGUUUCAGCAAGAAUAAGUGGUAUAAAUGAGUGAAACGUGGUUCCUCUGUGCAGUAGGGUGUUUUGUUUCCCUGGAAGGGAAUAAUUAAACUUCAAGAAGGAAAUACCUGGGUGGAUUAACUUUUUCCUGAAUGACAGUAUUUGUAGAGGGGCGUUGAGGAGAAACACAUCAGCAUAGCAGUGCUCCUAGCAGUGAGCUGCCAGCAGGUAUGGGAGAGAAAAGUCUUAUUCUUUUUGCCUGUAUUGUAUUGCUGGGAUUGACAUCAGCUGGAGAGCAUCUGGAAUAGAAGAGGACAGGGAUAACAGUAAUUGUGCUGCAUCUUGCAGGUGUUUUGGGAAGAAAUCCACUUUGGAAGUAGUGCUUUAAUGAAAAACUUUACCAUAAACCCUGAGAUAUGAAAAUUGAUGGAAAUGUGAACUCAAAAAAAAACAUUUUUUUUUUUUUUAAAGCUGUUUAAAACUGUUAGUUUGAGUUAGUGUAAGAGAACUGUUCUGUCAUGGCCUGAGUUGAUGAUUGAUCACCUGGUGCAGGGGGUGGCUGGCCCAGGAAGCACGGGGGCAUGCAAUUCACCUCUGCUUCCCACCGGACUGGGGGGGACCCUUAAUGAGCUCCCUGGGCUCACAUAAAGGCUCACCCCUGGAAGGAGAAGGUCUGCUGGGUGAAGGCUGCUUCCUGAGAAGGAGCGUUCUGUUGCUAGAGGCCUGCUUGCCAGUCAGGAAAAAGAGGUUUCAGAGCAUUCAGCAUCUCCCCUGUGAGACACCUGUAUGUGGUACCCGAGCAGCAAGGUGCCCACGUCUGCUUGGAGCUGCCCUGUGCCUGCAGUGUGCUGCCUGCACUGCCUUCACUUGGUGGCCACGACCUGCCCGUUGUGUUCAGAGCAUUUUUUCCUACUUUGCUGAAAUCCUUCACCUUAUCCAGAACUCCUCAGUCACUGACGUGCUUUAUUUUGUGUGGGUUCGUGGUGUAUGUUAAAUGUCAGAAGAACUGUUUAAAUAGAGCACCGUGAUGAUGUAAGAUUUGGUGCUUGCUGGACCAAUUGUUUCAUGCUGAGUGAUUCUGGAUCUCUGCAGAAUCCAUUCUGAGUGAUGGGCUCAGAAAAACGAGAAGCUUCCAGUUCUGGACAACCUUUUGGAAAAGUCCUGGAGAGCCGAAUACAGCUGCAAAGCCUGUGGCAGGCUAUUUAAAGACAUAAUAGAGCAUGGCACAAAAGUGAGUUCAAAGAUUGUCACUGCAAUAUCAUCACGGCAAACACUUCUCAGGAGUUCUUACUUCACCACGUGAGUUAACCAGAUGUAUUACCAGCAAAGUCCUGGGGAUGCCAGCAGUGUGGGGUGUGAUUUCCAGUGUAGCAUUGAAGAGAGGUUUCAAGAAGGCAUGUGCUGGCAGGGAGGAGGCCGACCAGCCAGAGCUCUGGACAGCUUGAUUCAUUCUUCAUACUCAAAGUCAUCAGAACCUGGCAGUCCUUAGCAGCAGUGGGCACAAGGAGACUUUGGGGGCAGCUGGCCACAAGAGGACCCAGAUGAGGAUGUCAUUGUGCUCUUCCCGUGCAUCGUGACCAUGAUGCAAAAAGUCCUUCCAGGGAUUGCCUGUUGGACUGUAAAAUUGAUCUCUAAGUAGUGCUUUUCUCAGUGUGGUGAAUUAACCACUGGUGCACAACGGAGGAAAAAUGCUUCUUCAAAUACAUGGAUUCUUUAUGGCCACGAAGGAAGAAAAGAAAGUGCAGAAGUUUCAUUGGCAGCUUCAGAAGAUGAGCUGAGAGGAAGAGCUUCUGCAUGAGGCACAGCCCAGAGGGACGCUCAAUGCCUGCCUCGGCUGUGUGCUCGCUCAUGUCUCCCUGCUGCCCUGCAGCUGGAGAAGGCUUGAAGGUUGAAAUUCAAGUCCAGGACAAAUCCAUCAUUGGAGAGGUCUGGGCAUCCCUGCGAUGUCCCACUGGUGUCAGCAUUGGUGGAACGAAGGAGACCCAGUCCCCACUGUGAUGCUGGGGUGCCCUAUGUUGAAUUCCACAGGUGCCAAGAGAGGAGGAACUGCCACUUCCCAGGAGCAGUGGUAGAUGACUGGCUGCCAACAGCUCAGGAGGAAAAUGAGCUGCCUGAGCUGUGAGAACUAUUUCUGGAGGUGAAGCCUGACACUGAACUAGAUGCCAGUUCUGGUGAUGGAAUCAAAACAUUCCUGCUGCCCUCAGUGGGUUUAGCCAGUCUGUCACAUCUGCAGAUGUAACAGCAAGGCACGGCACCAGUGGACCGUUGGCUGAAGGGAAGAGAGAAGUUGGAAGCUGUCUGUCUGCAAUUUUGGCUUUGCGGUACUACUGGCUCGGAGUGAGGCAAAAAAGCAGCAGUACCAGGCAGCAACGUGCACCAAACCACAUAGCUCUGCAAGAGGUAAAUCUGCUCCACUCCUUCACAGCCUGUCCUGCAACUUGUUUCUAGGUGAUGUACAGAAGGAUGUCCGUGCCUCAUAAAGCUGCAGUCCCUACUGGUAUGUUAGCACUGAUUUAACUCUGAUGUAGUUAUACGAAUCAUGUAAUGUCUUAAAAAUGAAACUGCCUGAAAAAGACUUCAAAGCUUCUAUUAAAAUGUGGGGGAGCACGUCCAGAGUACUAAAAAAAAAAUAAUAAUUCAAUCAUUUCUUUGUCAAAUAUUUAUAGCAUCAUACACAUUGCAUUUGUUGUUCCUCCUUGCUAAGAAGGUAUUUCUGGACUAAUUGAAUCGGCUUCUGGCGUUUUUGAUCACUGUAGGAAUAUGAUUUUGCAAGUUAACAGUGGCACUUCCUCUUCUCUGCUUAUUUGCUACUGCAAAUGGAUUUAGUUCUCUUCAACUGGAAAAUGUUCUUUGGAAAUGACCUCACGUUAUUGUCUCCAAUCUCCCCCAGCCCAGGGAAGCAUGGAUGAAGCCAGUAGUGAAAAUCCAUUGUAACGUAGGUUCUGAUCAGCUCCACAUGCCUAGCCAGUCUAAUGCUGUGCUUUGUGAAUGACAUCCAGAGGCCACAGCACAGGGAAAGGCCAAGUGAUGGACUUUUGCAUUACCUGCUGCCUACGCUGUAAGACCACAUCCAUCGCUGUAGUAAAAACUAAAAAUGUGGCAGUUAUCAGUGGAAAAAGUGUGCUAUGGUAUUCACUAAACAGUAAUGGCUGUUUGUUCUGUGCUUUAUGUGUGCUGUGGUGGAUUUGUUGGUGGGUCAGCUGAAGGACACCCAAGCUUUGAGAACGAACUCUCUGACACUACAUGGUCCAAAAUGACCAUUGAUGAAAAACUGCAGAGCCAAGCAGAUAAACCAGGCGUGGGUCCUAGGAGAGAGGGAAUCAUCCCAACUCCCUGUGAACUCAGUGAGGCGGAAUGAAGAAGCAUCUGAGUGUCGUUAUUUGAGUCUCGUUAUUUGCUGAUACCUCAGUGUUUUUGCCCAGUGAGAAUCCUUCUGUGCCGAGUCACUGUGUUUGGGGUUGGUUUGUUCGAGACAAACACAGUUCCUCCAUAGUAGCUGAAUGCAGUAGGAGCCAGUGAGAAUUCAGGGGGCUGGUUCAAAAGAUUUCAGCUUUGGAAAGCCAUGCAGUUAACGCUUGCUCCAGAAAAGGGGCACAUAAAAUCACUUUUUUCUGAAACUGAUGCUUAAUGGGGGCCAUGUGAUUGGUGGAGGUUGUUUUGAGUGCAUGUAAGAAACUAUAUAUGUUUAAAAAAAUAUCGUGUGGGGAAACUGCCAGGCCUGGGAAGCGCAGUGCAAGCUGUCCUGGUGAGGCUCAGCGUUGACUCCGUGCUUUAGACAUCAGCUUUUAGCAUUCUCUGCCUUCCCUUCUGUUUAUGAAAUUCAUUUUUUAGUGCACCAAACCUCUACAAUAGUCAUUACAGGUGUGAACUUGCUAUCAACAGAAAUAAUGCUUAAUUUUAUGGGAGAUGCAUAGAGGGAAUUAUUUCGCUAGGGGCUAAAUAAAUACAUUUUCCAUAGCACCUCUCAAUUCCCAGAGCAUUAAGAAACCACAUUUCUGUCAGUAAGCAAAUCCACAGCUGAUGUCUGGGCUAUCAGCAUGCUCAUAUUUCUUGCAGACUGAAAAUGUGAUCAUCAUUCUUGCUUCUUCCCUCCCAGUAAUGCAAGGAGGAAGAUCCCUUCCUGUCUGGGUUGUGAAACCUGCUUAACUUAGAGUAUUUGUUUUACUAAGGGAAGAUAAUGGUAGGGAAGAAGGGGGUGGCAUCUGGUUCUGGGGCAGGAGGGUCUUCAUUGCAGUGCUCCUGCCCCAGAGGGGAGCUGUUGAUUGUUCGGUUGUUGGGGUGAUCCAAGCAAAAAGCAGGGUUAAAUUCCCAUCGCAUUAACAGGAGAACGUUAAGGAACAAUCUCGAAAAAAACCCAACCCUAUUCAUUGCAGUGUUUGUAGUUAAUUUGCAAACUACAAAAAAUAGAUGCUGAAUGUGUUUUCUUGGCCCAAGGAAGAUGAAGCAUUGUCGUUCAGUGGCAGUUGUAUUAAUGGUCACUGUUAACAACUGCUGAAAAAAGAAACAAGAUAGUUUGCACAGGGCUAUUUGGGUACCUGUUUAGAAACAGCUAUUCUUCUAUUGCAGUAGAAUAGAAAGCAUCACCCUCUCCACAGUUAAGUAGUUCAUUCUUGAAAAAUUCCCUUUCUAUUGCAAGUAGCAUCAGCGCAGAUUUUGGUUGGCAGCCAUAUAUGCUAAACACGCCUAGGUAGGAGUCUGAGGGAUCAGAUACAUAGAGAAAAUUACCUCAGGCUAAGACAAGCAAUUUAUUUUGUGCUCGCUGUGAGCCAGAAGCACACGCUGAUCUGCAGCACCUCCCCAUUUCUCCACAGUGCCAUUUUCAUCCAGCAAGCCUAAGCAGUGCAGCUAGUCUUUUGGAAAAUUGUCUGUUGUGCUAAUGUUCUGUUAAUGACUUGUGCAGCUUGCUUAUUUCCCAUCAUCAUCGUUUGUGAAACGACUCUUGUCGGAGCUCCCUGCAGCACCAGGGAAGCUCAGCGGCGGCACUGCGGGCUGUGGGGAAGGCCUGGGCCACGCAGCCAAGUUGUGGCAGCACGUGGGCACAUCUGUCACACAGUGACGCCCAUCUGAAUGAUCUGGAGAGCCUUCAGCUGAAGCACGGGGAUUGAGAGAGCUGAGCGCGGGGCAGAGCGCAUACAAAGCAUGGCUGAGUCAGGGGCAGGAGGCACCCAUGGGGGCAGGGAUGCUGCAAUAGGCAGGUGCACCUCGAGCCCUCUGUGAGAACAGCUGGCCCUAGCCGGGUUGGGACAUGGGCAAUUCUAAGAAAAGGAUGUUGAGCUGAAGUGUUUGCAGUUCCAUAUCCGUGCAUUUUGUGUGGAGGAGAGCUGACUUAUUGGCGCUGUGCUGCACUUCAACAAUAACCUUCAAUGGCGCGACGCGAGGGAGACAUUCGUGUACGGCCACAGGCACGUGUGUGUGCAGCCAGUAACCUGCUAGGGAAGUAAGCACAGCACAAAACCUUCUCUGAAGUGUUGUGUUCCCAUCAUCGGGUCUGACUGCAGGCGAGAGUUGCAGUGACCUCGUGUACCUCCUAGAGAAAGCCUGCUCCUGGACCCAGAGGUGCAACUGACCUACAUGGAGAGCUCGUUUCCCCCAAGAGUCACAUUUAGAAGGGCAAUCCUGUUCAGAGAAAUGCUGAGGAAAUAUAAAAGAAGCCUUUUCUAUGGAAGUUUUUAAUGUUGUGGAUGUCAUCAGGAAAUAAGAUACUGACGGGACUGCAUGGGUAAAAUACAGAAAGGUCAAGCUCGAAUGGUGCAAGCCACUUGAAAAAGCACACCAGAAUCUGAAAACGGGAGUUUGUUGUUAAAAGCAAAGACAGAAGAAAGGACUUACAGAAUAUGUAACAAAGGAACAAAAGCUUCAAAACGUGUUCUCAGGGAUUUGUAAUAUUUACAGUUUUGGGUUUGUUUUUCUUUUCCAUACAAGUAAUGCGUUGCUUUUUAAACUGUAUCUUUUUGUCUGCUCAUACGUUCCAAAAUAAAGUCAGUGUUUAAUUUUAGGGAAAGCUCCAGGGAAGCGGGGAAAGCUGUGAUGAGAAGGCGAUUUGCUGUGUUUCGGAAGACAACCUCAGCAUGUUUUAUCUGUACUCUUUUGAAAAAUACUAGCCUUAUCUCCAUGGAAGAAAUGCAAAGAGCAUCCUCUUCAUAAUUCUUGCACUUCACAAACAGCAUAUUACAUCUGACGUUUAAAAAUUGCAAUUUAUUGUGGGCCUAUUCGUAAAGCUUGUGUCUGAUGCAGUGUUUUUCACUAAAAUAUUGAAGUAAUUUUGUGGGAGAGAGGAAAAUCCUUUCCAUUUAUUUACUGAUCUUUAGUACAGAGGGAUAUCUAGCACAGUACAGUUACUGUACAUGGAUGGCCCAUCAAAUCAACCUUCCAAUUGCAACCCUGCUUGUCAUCUGUUUGAAAAUCUCUUGCAAAUUACCAUUAACAAGUCAUAUUAAAAACAUCAGGAAUAAUAAGUGCUUUCAAACAGUGGGCUGUCAAAUUACAUAGUCUGUUUGUUCUUUAGGAAGGAAGAAUUCAUAAAAGCAUUUAACAGCCUUGAAAACCUGAAAGGCAAGACAUGUUUGUUCAGUAGUAAUAUUCUUACACGAGAAACUCAACUUAUUUUCUUAGCAUGUUUAUUUUCAUAAGAAAAUGUUUGUUUUCAUGAGAAAAUAGAUUAAUCUUGAGAAAAUAUGGGCUGUUCUUUUGUGCUCAUGACUGUAGUUUUCAUCUCCUCCUACACAGGGUCUGGUCCUGUUCAGUACGAAGGCAGGAGUAAAGCUUUUAUUUCAUUCACUGGAGAAGAAUCAUGCGCCUUAUUAUUAUCCUCAUUCUAUGUAAUUACCAGAUAAAAUUAUUUGAAUAAAUUGGCUUUCAUGACAACCAACCAAAUCAUUUCUAUCCUGGCUUAAAAGCCAAUUUCAUCUCCUUGUAGCUCUUCUGCACUGGAAGGCAGGACAAGUUCGUGGAGCAGGCAGAGCAGCGUGCCCCGGCCUCACCUGCGCCCUGCGGAGCUGUGGGGCAGCUGCACAAAGAUGGCACGUCCCCCUGCUAACCUGCAUGUUUUGCUUUCCAGCACAUCCAAGAAGCAAGACAGCUUUGCUAGUGGAUGUUUUACAAAUGCUAAAAUGUGGAACGCAUAAGAAAUAUUUUCAAUAAGGAGAAAUAUGGAUGCCAGAACUGCACAGAACUUUCAGAGUGCAAGAGAAAAACCGCCGUCGUCUCUCCUUGCAGGCUGGCUUUCUGGCAAUGCGAUUCCUUUGCUUCCUACGCAGUUCUAGAUCAAACUCCAGUUAGUGAGUCACCGAGGAUCCCCGUGGUCGGGAAAGACCCCAGCACUGUUAAACAGACCACUUCAGUUUGUGAAGUGGCCGAGGAAAAUACUGCCCUGCAUCACCACCAAGGACCAGAGGUCAGCGCUUCGGGGGAGAGAGUUACGCAGCAAGAGCAUCGUACCAAAUAAAGUAGGAGAGAGCUGUUUCUCUGUGGCACUUUUAUAACAUCUGUGCAUUCUCAAUACAGCAUCCUGUUAAGUGUUUCAGGACUUAUUUACAACUGCUUUUCCCUUAUCUUUCUUCAAGUAUAUAUAUUUAUAAAAAACAACAAACAGGUAUCUGCUCCCUUUUGUAUGCUUGAUCUUUAGAAAUUGUGCUCCAAGUAAAAAUCUGUUCCCAUUCUUUUGGCAAUUCGGUCAGCUGGAAGGUCAAGAAGAUGCUAGCUUGUACCACCAAUCAAAUUAAAAUCUUACAGUUCAGAAGGUGAAGUUGUGAAAGCAUUCAAUGUUUUAUAGUGGAAUUGAAGAGCAGACACUAAUUCUCUUCUCAUUGAUGCCAAAGACUUCUGCUUUCUUCAUGAGGAAGAGAACUAGGCCAACUCAAAAUAGGCCAAUCCAGUAUUUUCCUUCAGUGCCACACAUAAAAAUGAAAGAUGAUGUCUGAAUUGCAAAACAAAAUUCAAAUAAAGUUGCAAGGCUUCAGGAAGCAAUAAGAGAAGGUAACUUGAAGUACCUUAGUCCAGGUAUCCUUCAGAAUGGCAUGGAGGCAUGCCCUGUUACUGGCCUCAUGAAGCCAAUUAGUGGAGGAUUAAUCAAUCAGCUGCAGGAAAAGAGUCUAGAAUAGCAGGCUCAUCACAUGCAUGCUCAGUAGCCCUCUGAUUUCUCUUUUCAGAAUUCAGGCACUCUGGUUUAGGGAAGCAGGAUUACCACGCGCUGACAAAAGCAGCUCUAAGCCAGGUAGGAAUCAAAAACGUGAGCCCAUCUUCUCACAGCAAGGCACACGCCAAGGGUAGAGCUGCAGAUGAGCAUGAGAGCACUUUGUUCCUGAAGUGAACUGCUGUGGAUCUGUGCAGGUGCACGUGGUGGUGGUGGCACCCAGCCUUGUUCCCUGUGCCCCAUGCUGGCAUCACCGCCUCCAGCACAGCUGGGAGAAGGCAAGGCUGUGCAUUCAGAAAUGAGGUUCUGGGUUGUUUUAGGAAAAAAAAGUAUUUUGUAUUUACCACAGCAUUUAAGGCCCGAUCCUGCUAAUUACUCAACUGGAGCUCAGGAUUUAGGAUUUGCUGUGGGAGCUCUGUGCAUCCUGCAGGACGGGGCUUCUCACCGCAUGAAGAUGUGAGCGCGGCUCUGGGCUCACUGCAAAUUGCCACUGUAUAAACAGACAGCAGCUCAAUGGAUUUGUGUGCUGCCCAAAAGUUUGCAUGGAUUUUCUGCAGUUCUCUGUCUACAAAAUGUCUGCCAGGAAAAAAAAAAAAAAAAAUCUUGAGCUUGGGAGGAUGAAGUAUCACACGUGUAUUGUUCAUGUAGCUAUGGUAACCUACAAAUGCCACCAGUGUUUCCAUUUCAUACACAAAUGAGGGGACAGCUGUGGAGACCACAUGUCUGCCAAUGGAAUAAUAUAUGUGAACUAGGAUGGCUUGGCCAGAAAAUUACAACUCAUUUAUAUUAAUCAGGGCUUCAAAGAACGGCCAUCUCUGCAGAGAUGAAGUCCACAGUAAAAGGGAGUGAUUUUGUUUCUCAAAGUGUUUGGCUCUUCAGUAAACAUCUUCACCAUCCUCCUACUUGCCGAUUUAAAAGUAGAAGUGUUGUGAGCAGGCGGUGCCCUUCUGUAAAUCUCACUUCACUUUUUGCCUUGGUGUGGUCUUUUUUUGCUGUCUGCCCUCCGGCCCAAAGCCCACCUGGGAAAGCAGCAGUUCCCAAGCAGGCAGAAAUUAGCCCAGAACUGGAACCUGGCCACCAAAGUGAGACAACAAAAACAACUUCUUUUUGUUGUUGUUGUUUUACUCAUUGAUAACACUAACAGAAAUAAA